UCCGAGUUGACCCCGGCAGUCUCCUAUGAGUCCCCACCAUUAUGUGCUGGCAACAUAGAACGAGGGUUGCGCUCGUUGCGGGACUUAACCCAACAUCUCACGACACGAGCUGACGACAACCAUGCACCACCUGUGCACGGCCCUUACGGACCUUCCAUCUCUGAAAGAUUUCCGUGCAUGUCAAGCCUGGGUAAGGUUCUUCGCGUUGCAUCGAAUUAAGCAACAUGCUCCGCUGCUUGUGCGGGCCCCCGUCAAUUCCUUUGAGUUUUAGCCUUGCGACCGUACUCCCCAGGCGGGGCACUUAAUGCGUUAGCUACGGCACAGGCGGGAUUAAUACCGCCCACACCUAGUGCCCAUCGUUUAGGGCGUGGACUAC
rnacentral:misc_RNA from 1 species